rnacentral:rRNA from 1 species
AUUGAACGCUGGCGGCAGGCCUAACACAUGCAAGUCGAGCGGAUGAAGGUAGCUUGCUCCUGGAUUCAGCGGCGGACGGUUGGGUAAUGCCUAGGAAUCUGCCUGGUCGUGGGGGAUAACUUCCGGAAACGGGCGCUAAUACCGCAUACGUCCUGAGGGAGAAAGUGGGGGUUCUUCGGACCUCACGCUAUCAGAUGAGCCUAGGUCGGAUUAGCUAGUUGGUGGGGUAAUGGCCUACCAAGGCGGCGAUCCGUAACUGGUCUGAGAGGAUGAUCAGUCACACAGGAACUGAGACACGACCGAGACACCGACAGGAGGCAGCAGUGGGGAAUAUUGGACGAAGGGCGAAAGCCUGAUCAAGCCAAGCCGGGUGUGUGAAGAAGGGCCUCGGAUUGGAAAACAAUUUAAGUGGGGGGAAAGGGCAGUAAGUUAAUACCUGGCUGUUUUGACGGUACCAACAGAAUAAGCACCGGCUAACUACGUG